UAGGGAAUCUUCCGCAAUGGGCGAAAGCCUGACGGAGCAACGCCGCGUGAGUGAAGAAGGAUUUCGGUUCGUAAAGCUCUGUUGUUAGGGAAGAAUGGUUGUGUAGUAACUAUACACAGUAGAGACGGUACCUAACCAGAAAGCCACGGCUAACUACGUGCCAGCAGCCGCGGUAAUACGUAGGUGGCAAGCGUUGUCCGGAAUUAUUGGGCGUAAAGCGCGCGCAGGUGGUUUAAUAAGUCUGAUGUGAAAGCCCACGGCUCAACCGUGGAGGGUCAUUGGAAACUGUUAAACUUGAGUGCAGGAGAGAAAAGUGGAAUUCCUAGUGUAGCGGUGAAAUGCGUAGAGAUUAGGAGGAACACCAGCGGCGAAGGCGGCUUUUUGGCCUGUAACUGACACUGAGGCGCGAAAGCGUGGGGAGCAAACAGGAUUAGAUACCCUGGUAGUCCACGCCGUAAACGAUGAGUGCUAAGUGUUGGUCUCAUAAGAGAUCAGUGCUGCAGCUAACGCAUUAAGCACUCCGCCUGGGGAGUACGACCGCAAGGUUG
rnacentral:rRNA from 1 species